AAGGUUCAAGGGAUAUGGUUAUGACUGUAGAGCGAGCUUCCUCUAAGCAAAAGUCUUCUUUCAAGAAAAAAGAAGAAGCCUGCAAGAAGCAAAAGAAUGAGAUCAAGCCCAAGAAACAGGCUCCAAAGAAGGCUGAUGAUAAGAAAAAAUAUUUUCAUGGCAAUGUCGAAGGCCAUUGGAGAAGGAACUAUCUGACCUACCU
rnacentral:lncRNA from 1 species